ACCAGUCCCCGACUGCGCACAGCUACCCCAACUCCCCCAGCAGUGCGACCGACCCUGGGAGCCCCUACCAAAUUACAGCAGAGACGCCUCCACCCCCCUACAGUAUGAUGGAGACCACUCCAUCUGAGGAUGUGAAACCUGGAGAGUCCUCCAACACCAAUAAACUCAUUCUGUCAGCCCCACAUAGAGACUUGAGGCCAGUGUGUUAUGAGGAACCAGAAUACUGGUGUUC